UGGGGAAUAUUGGACAAUGGGCGAAAGCCUGAUCCAGCCAUGCCGCGUGUGUGAAGAAGGCCUUCGGGUUGUAAAGCUCUUUCGCAAGGGAAGAAAACUUAACCUCUAACAUAGGUUGAGGCUGACGGUACCUUGAUAAGAAGCACCGGCUAACUACGUGCCAGCAGCCGCGGUAAUACGUAGGGUGCGAGCGUUAAUCGGAAUUACUGGGCGUAAAGGGCGCGUAGGCGGCGUGGUAAGUCAUCUGUGAAAUCUCCGAGCUUAACUCGGAACGGUCAGAUGAUACUGCUGUGCUAGAGUACAGAAAGGGCAAUCGGAAUUCUUGGUGUAGCGGUGAAAUGCGUAGAUAUCAAGAGGAACACCUGAGGCGAAGGCGGGUUGCUAGGCUGAUACUGACGCUGAGGCGCGAAAGCUAGGGUAGCAAACGGGAUUAGAUACCCGUGUAGUCCCUGAGCGGGCUGGCAAGGCGCAU
rnacentral:rRNA from 1 species